ACACAUGCAGUCGAGCGGAUGAAGGAGCUUGCUCCUGGAUUCAGCGGCGGACGGGUGAGUAAUGCCUAGGAAUCUGCCUGGUAGUGGGGGACAACGUUUCGAAAGGAACGCUAAUACCGCAUACGUCCUACGGGAGAAAGCAGGGGACCUUCGGGCCUUGCGCUAUCAGAUGAGCCUAGGUCGGAUUAGCUAGUUGGUGAGGUAAUGGCUCACCAAGGCGACGAUCCGUAACUGGUCUGAGAGGAUGAUCAGUCACACUGGAACUGAGGCACGGUCCAGACUCCUACGGGAGGCAGCAGUGGGGAAUAUUGGACAAUGGGCGAAAGCCUGAUCCAGCCAUGCCGCGUGUGUGAAGAAGGUCUUCGGAUUGUAAAGCACUUUAAGUUGGGAGGAAGGGUUGUAGAUUAAUACUCUGCAAUUUUGACGUUACCGACAGAAUAAGCACCGGCUAACUCUGUGCCAGCAGCCGCGGUAAUACAGAGGGUGCAAGCGUUAAUCGGAAUUACUGGGCGUAAAGCGCGCGUAGGUGGUUUGUUAAGUUGGAUGUGAAAUCCCCGGGCUCAACCUGGGAACUGCAUCCAAAACUGGCAAGCUAGAGUAUGGUAGAGGGUGGUGGAAUUUCCUGUGUAGCGGUGAAAUGCGUAGAUAUAGGAAGGAACACCAGUGGCGAAAGCGACCACCUGGACUGAUACUGACACUGAGGUGCGAAAGCGUGGGGAGCAAACAGGAUUAGAUACCCUGGUAGU
rnacentral:rRNA from 1 species